GACGAACGCUGGCGGCGUGCUUAACACAUGCAAGUCGAACGGAAAGGCCCUGCUUUUGUGGGGUGCUCGAGUGGCGAACGGGUGAGUAACACGUGAGUAACCUGCCCUUGACUUUGGGAUAACUUCAGGAAACUGGGGCUAAUACCGGAUAGGAGCUCCUGCUGCAUGGCGGGGGUUGGAAAGUUUCGGCGGUUGGGGAUGGACUCGCGGCUUAUCAGCUUGUUGGUGGGGUAGUGGCUUACCAAGGCUUUGACGGGUAGCCGGCCUGAGAGGGUGACCGGCCACAUUGGGACUGAGAUACGGCCCAGAGUCCUACGGGAGGCAGCAGUGGGGAAUAUUGCACAAUGGGCGGAAGCCUGAUGCAGCAACGCCGCGUGCGGGAUGACGGCCUUCGGGUUGUAAACCGCUUUCGCCUGUGACGAAGCGUGAGUGACGGUAAUGGGUAAAGAAGCACCGGCUAACUACGUG
rnacentral:rRNA from 1 species